rnacentral:misc_RNA from 1 species
GUGGAUGAAUCGGAAGUUGUAACAGAGUGGUCUUCAUUUGCAUGUUUUUCAUCAGCUUUAAUGGCAGAAACUAGAAUUGUUUUGGGAUUUGAAAGGGUGAAAUUUGGUUUCGAAGUUGAAAAUCGAACAACGUGGGGAAAACCCAGAUGGGAAAUAGAGGAAUAGAGAGAAAUGGAAGGUCUAUUGAGGGUGGAGUGAGAUGAAACAG